rnacentral:rRNA from 1 species
UGCAGUCGAGCGCGGGAAGCAAGCUGAUCCUCUUCGGAGGUGACGCUUGUGGAACGAGCGGCGGACGGGUGAGUAACACGUGGGCAACCUGCCUGUAAGACUGGGAUAACCCCGGGAAACCGGGGCUAAUACCGGAUAAUACUUUUCAUCACCUGAUGGAAAGUUGAAAGGUGGCUUUUAGCUACCACUUACAGAUGGGCCCGCGGCGCAUUAGCUAGUUGGUGAGGUAACGGCUCACCAAGGCAACGAUGCGUAGCCGACCUGAGAGGGUGAUCGGCCACACUGGGACUGAGACACGGCCCAGACUCCUACGGGAGGCAGCAGUAGGGAAUCUUCCGCAAUGGACGAAAGUCUGACGGAGCAACGCCGCGUGAGUGAUGAAGGUUUUCGGAUCGUAAAGCUCUGUUGUUAGGGAAGAACAAGUGCCGUUCGAAUAGGGCGGCACCUUGACGGUACCUAACCAGAAAGCCCCGGCUAACUACGUGCCAGCAGCCGCGGUAAUACGUAGGGGGCAAGCGUUGUCCGGAAUUAUUGGGCGUAAAGCGCGCGCAGGCGGUCCUUUAAGUCUGAUGUGAAAGCCCACGGCUCAACCGUGGAGGGUCAUUGGAAACUGGAGGACUUGAGUACAGAAUAGGAGAGUGGAAUUCCACGUGUAGCGGUGAAAUGCGUAGAGAUGUGGAGGAACACCAGUGGCGAAGGCGACUCUCUGGUCUGUAACUGACGCUGAGGCGCGAAAGCGUGGGGAGCGAACAGGAUUA